rnacentral:rRNA from 1 species
UACGGAGGAUGCGAGCGUUAUCCGGAUUUAUUGGGUUUAAAGGGUGCGCAGGCGGCACGGCAAGCCGGCGGUCAAAUCGCGGGGCUCAACCCCGCCCAGCCGUCGGAACUGCCGGGCUAGAGUGGGCGAGAAGUGCGCGGAAUGCGUGGUGUAGCGGUGAAAUGCAUAGAUAUCACGCAGAACUCCGAUUGCGAAGGCAGCGCACCGGUGCCCUACUGACGCUCAGGCACGAAAGCGUGGGUAUCGAACAGG